UUCGUCUUCGAUUCAUCCCCGAGUAUCCACGCCGCCGCUGCUCCUCCUCCGCCACUGUCUUCCGUUGGAGGGAGAGAUCUUUGUCUUCCGUCAGUUUUAAAGGCAAACAAAAUCAUCCAAUCGAUGGCGGUCCCGUAAAACGGAGGAAAGCUUCUCGGGGUCCUCCAAUUAUUUCACCCACGAACUGAGAAGAGAGCUAGAGAGCUAGAGAGAGAGAUGGAGAUGGAGGGGAGGGCCGGGGGUUCGCUGCCGUUCGUGGGGAUGAUAAUGGUGGUUCUGGUUCAAGCGAGCAGCAUGGUGGUGGCAAAAAUGGCCAAUGUCCGACGGGCUCAACAAGUACACCUUGGCCUUCUACUGUCAGGGUCGCGCCCUCCUCUGACUUUCUGCGUGCUUCGCAAAAUCUUCUUGCUCGCUCUGGUCGGAUCCGCAUCGCAGAUAUGCGGGUAUGCCGGGAUCGAUUACAGCUCCCCUGUGCUGGGCACGGCCAUGAUGAACCUCAUCCCAGCUUUCACUUUCAUUCUCGCCGUCAUUUCAAGGAGUAUCGUGAGCAUUCAAGCAUACCAAGCUGGUGGUUUGACGGUUUAAUCAGUAAAGACAUUCAAAUGGCCAAUGAAGUUUUCUCCAUUCACACCAUUGAUUUUGACCGGCAAUGCACAUGCAGAACAUUGCCCGUUGCUGAAACUUGCAUUUGCCAAUUGCCAAGAGUUUGCACGGGAGCUGCGAAAGCUUGUAUGGAGUGUACAGUCGACUCAAGAACAGCGAACCAAAAACAAGAGAGAAGCUAGCAUGGCGCUCCUAAGGGCGGAGAAGUCCUCUACUCAUUUCCGCCAAAACCCUGCAAGGCAGAUCCGGUUGAAUCGUUCUACAAUGCAGGGUGAUUUUUGAACCGAGUACCAGGUGGAUGAUGGGGUGCUAAUUUUAAUUCGGUGCCGGGUUCAGUCCUGUGCAAUGGCUCAAAAGAGAAUAGUUAUGCCGCUAAACGUUAUUUACUUGUCUUUACCUUUCCAUUGCCUGCUAGUUUCGUCAAUUCCGCAGUUAUAAAAGAGGCGAGAUAAUUCUGAUAGAAAAAAGAAAGAAAGGGCGGUUAGGCUCUGUUCUUAUAAGUGUUUAUUUGACACUCGGAUUAUGCUUUUGUAUUCGGUUCUAUCUGGGUAAUGUACAUGCUGGUGCCAGCCAGUACGG